UCCCCGUUAUCCGAGGCGGUUUCGCUAGAGUGCCCGACAUUACUCGCUGGCAACUAACAACAGGGGUUGCGCUCGUUAUAGGACUUAACCUGACACCUCACGGCACGAGCUGACGACAACCAUGCAGCACCUUGUAAUUUGUCUUGCGAAAGAUCUGUUUCCAAACCGGUCAAACUACAUUUAAGCCUUGGUAAGGUUCCUCGCGUAUCAUCGAAUUAAACCACAUGCUCCACCGCUUGUGCGGGCCCCCGUCAAUUCCUUUGAGUUUCAUUCUUGCGAACGUACUCCCCAGGUGGGAUACUUAUCACUUUCGCUUAGCCACUGAGCCUUGCGGCCCAACAGCUAGUAUCCAUCGUUUACGGCGUGGACUAC
rnacentral:misc_RNA from 1 species